rnacentral:lncRNA from 1 species
UUUUUUCAUUCCCGGCCACCAAUAUAGUUGUUUCAAAUCGUUAUACAUUUUCGUACUCCCCAGAUGUAUAGAAAAUCUACUACUUUGACCUUCUUUCAAAAUCAUCCGAAUCAACUCCGAAUUUCUCGGAACACAAAGUCUAUUUCUGAACCUCAGACAAUCAUCAACAUCUAUCUAGAAUUCAAAAUCAGAAUAAAAAAUACACUGAGUUCG